rnacentral:tRNA from 1 species
GGGAAGAUGGCUCAGUGGUAGAGUGCUUGCCUCCCAUGCAUGAGGCCCUGAGUUCGAUUCUCAGUACCA